rnacentral:rRNA from 1 species
UUUUGGGCAAUGGGCGCAACGUGACCCAGCAACGCCGCGUGAAGGAUGAAAUCCCUCGGGAUGUAAACUUCGCAAGAACGGGAAGAAUAAGCCUGUGCUAACACCACAGGCGAUGACGGUACUGUUUGUAAGCUCCGGCUAACUCCGUGCCAGCAGCCGCGGUAAUACGGGGGGAGCAAGCGUUGUUCGGAUUUACUGGGCGUAAAGGGCGCGUAGGCGGCCCUUGACAAGUCACUUGUGAAAUCUCCGGGCUUAACUCGGAAAGGUCAAGUGAUACUGUCGGGCUAGAGUGCGGAAGGGGCAACUGGAAUUCUCGGUGUAGCGGUGAAAUGCGUAGAUAUCGAGAGGAACACCUGCGGCGAAGGCGGGUUGCUGGGCCGACACUGACGCUGAGGCGCGAAAGCCAGGGGAGCGAACGGGAUUAGAUACCCCGGUAGUCCUGGCCUUAAACGAUGGAUGCUUGGUGUCUGGGGUUAUAAAGUCCCCGGGUGCCGUCGCUAACGCUUUUAGCAUCCCGCCUGGGGAGUACGGUCGCAAGACUGA